UUUGUGUCUUCCACCACUCACACCUUUUUGAAAAAUCAAACACCAUUAAAAAAAUUCAAAAUUACUAUUCUUAUUAUUCUCCUAAUUCCUCAUCCAAUAUUCAUUGAUUCAACGUGCUCUCCUCUUUCUUCUCUCCAACUCUACAUGUUUGAAUUUUCCAUUUUUUUCAACUUGUCCCUUUCCUUUGUUUUGGUCAAAAACCAAACACCUAACCGUUUUAGUGCUGAGUGUGUGCUCAAAUGUCCCAAAGCGUGUUUCUUUGACAAAGUGGGUUUGUUUCUUGAAAACCCUUUAACCAGUUUGUUUCAUUAA